AAACACAUGAUUGCUACUGCUACAGAAAUGUAUAUUGAAAAUUUGAUUUGUUUGUGAAAAUUUAUUUUAUCAUUUUUCUUCUUCUUCUUCCUAUCAUCUUGCCUGUUCAUUGACAAGAUGAAGUAGAAAUGUUUCAUCAUGUUAACUGAAAAUGCAAUCAUUUUUUUUAACCAGCAGCCAAUAGUAACCAAUAUUAAUCAAUGUUGUUAAUGUUUCUCCUACACGCAAUAUGUGAUUGCUUGUUGUAAAAAAAGGAUAAAAGCGGAGCCAAAAACAUCAUCACCUUUCAUCACUCGGGUCAUCUUCCUCUUCAUCGCCAUCACUAUUAACAUCACCAAGACCAUCAUCAUCACCAUCAACAUUAUCUUCACUAUUUUCCUCCCUUACAUUACUUUCACAAAAAUCUCAUUCAUUUUUGGGUUCAUAUUUACAAAGUACAAAAAUAGUGUUCAAAAAAGGUAAAAAAACUAUAACUUGAUAUUGCAAAGUAAUUUACAGUUUAUGGACUUCGAGAAGAGUAAGUAAUUGUCGGCUAUUCCUUCAAUUGCUUUUCAUCACUUUUCACCAUCACCAGUACCAUCAAAAUCACCAUCAACAUAAUCAUCCCAAGAAUCCUGAGAGGAAAUGCAGAUAGACAAUGGCGCUAAUAAUGAUAAUAAUUUUCAAUACUCAAAAUGUGUUCAAAUUACGCUUGUAUUUUGGCACAAAAUAAUUAGGCCAACUUUGCUAAUGGCGAUGACAGAGACUGAUAAUACAUAAUAAUAAAGUUUCAAUUUUGGAAGACAAAGUAGUAAUUUUGACAGACAAAAGAUAUUUCGUGAUGAUCACUAAAUAAAUACACUUUCAAUGAUGGAACAAGAUGAAAAUAUCAUCAUUGGAAUGAUAGAUCAAUCCAUCUUCAUUUGAAUGGCAAAGUUCAUUUCUUUUAAAUCGUUUUUUGCUUUGUUUUCGAGUAAAUCUCAUCUCUUUUUUUUCAACUUUGGUUUCGCUUUGGAAGCAACAUUUUUUUGUUUUGUCCAUUCUACUGUUGAACCUUACAAUAAUCAACAAACUUACCGUGAAUUGUAUCCAAUUCAAAUGUAAUUUUCAAGACAAUACAAAUUUUUGGUCAUCAUUCACAUUUGGAGACACUUUUGCAACCUUUAUUUUCCGAUUUUUCAGUCAAUCUUUGAAAAGGUCAUUUGUUUCUUUGCGUCUGAAAAAUGUAGUUAAACUUAAUUUCAAAUAUCA